GACGAACGCUGGCGGCAUGCCUAAUACAUGCAAGUCGAACGCUGAAGCACUCUGCUUGCAGAGUGCGGAUGAGUGGCGAACGGGUGAGUAACACGUGGGAAAUCUGCCUAUAAGAGGGGGAUAACAUUCGGAAACGGAUGCUAAUACCGCAUAUAUUCUUGGACCGCCUGGUCCUUGAAAGAAAGACGGCUUUGCUGUCGCUUAUAGAUGAUCCCGCGGCGUAUUAGUUAGUUGGUGGGGUAAAGGCCUACCAAGACAAUGAUACGUAGCCGACCUGAGAGGGUGAUCGGCCACACUGGGACUGAGACACGGCCCAGACUCCUACGGGAGGCAGCAGUAGGGAAUCUUCCACAAUGGGCGAAAGCCUGAUGGAGCAAUGCCGCGUGAAUGAAGAAGGUCUUCGGAUCGUAAAGUUCUGUUAUUAGAGAAGAACAAGUCAAGGAGUAACUGUCUUGACUUUGACGGUACCUAACCAGAAAGUCACGGCUAACUACGUG
rnacentral:rRNA from 1 species